UUAUUAAAAUUCAAAUUAUUUAUUUCUGCCUUGUAAAGGUACAGAUAGCGGAGGCGCAGAAAAAGCUGUCAGAUACAGAUUGACAAAGCCGCAGCCCCCUUUCGCUUGGCAGAGCCUUUACAGCGAGACUUUUAAAACAAAGAUAAUUGCACACGGUAAUAACAGUUAUACAAUAAUGAGCAAGUACAAAAGGAAACAAAACAAGAUUAUACAAUAUUUAGACAAUACUCCCAAAAAAGAAAACAGAACCUACAUCCUAACGUACAUAGCACUCAAAGUACUGUUCGACGCAUUGAAGAGGCCAAACUAUUGUAUACAUAAGCUAUAUACAUAUUCCUAUAGAGCUACCAAUCCCUGCAAAAUAUAGAACGCAGAUUUUCAUUGCACGCACGUGCACAGCACACACACCAAAAGGAAACGGCGACGCGCUCACAGGAGGCGCCUGAAAAAAAAGAAGAAAAGGAACAGUGUGGGGAACCGCGGUCGUCUUGCGCGGUCGCAUCUCCCUCUCCCAGAAGGAAUGAAGAGGUUCUUGGAAAGCAGGGACGGGCGAUUCUCUCCGUUAGCAUCAGCUCCCACCAGAGAGGACGGGGCGAGAAAGCGAAGCGGGACUUUCUUUGCUGUCUAUUUUUUCUUCGUCGAGCGUACCACCUGCUCGCAGGGGCGCAGGCGAGUUCCCGCGAAAUGGCGCGGGGGCGCAAGCAGUGGCGCGAGUUGCCGCCAAAUGCUAGCUCUGGAUGCCAGCUCGUUCCGCGUCGCUUGGUAGACUAGUUCGUGCAUUUCUGUUAUCAUGAACUGCGCAUAUAAACGCAAACUACACAAUAGUGACAUGGACAAGAACAGCGCAAGCCCGUUCCAUGCAGUGGAGCCGCCGUAUCUCGCCGUUCAAUAUAUAUGCGUACUCGAAGAAAAAAAAAAAAAAAAAGAGGCUUUAUAUGAGAACGGAUCAAGCGUUCGAGAGUUGGGACAGGGAAAUGAAACACUGGAACGACACUGCUUAAAUUGAAGCACAGUGUGCGAAUGACCUGCUGCGCGCUCGGAACUGUUAUCACCAUUUGGGAAGAAAUCAGAUGAAAAAACAAAACUGUAAAUACCCAGUACUGUACGAUAUACGUCUGGUGCAUUGCAGGUAAGAAUGGAUUGUGUGUGGCACUUCUCCGCAUGUGGACUAGAGUAGAUCUAGGAACAUCAGACAAGAAGAAACGUACGUGAAACCCUGCGGACAGCCCAUAUGCAAGUUGUUCCUCAAUUUUUCUGUUGUUGCAUUUUCGUAGUUUACGUGUAAUACUUUGUCACCGCCGUCUCGCCGUUAUGUAUACCUAUACAUUUGUCUCGUGGCAGUCUGCGUGCUAUUUUGUUUGUGCAUGCAACACUGUGUUGAAUUCAUUUAUCGCACUGCCUGGAUGUUUUUUUUUUUUUUUUUUUGCAAUGAUAUUCUGAGCCAAGUCAGUAAAUCUAUCCUUCCUGUCCUCAUGUUUCCUUGGGCGGCUCUAAAGCGUGAAUCACGUGGCAGAGUGAGUGAGUGAGUGAGUGAAUAAACUUUAUUGUAGGUCCGGCGAGGACGCGAACUCGUCGCGCACCCGGCUAGUCCCACGUCGGGACCGGCAGGUCUAGCCCACCGGCCCGGUCGCGGGCACGCCGGACGGCCAGUUGAAUGCACUAAUUUUCACUGAAAGUGCACAGUAUAUGUUCAUUACAUGUAUGUGCAACGACAAAAUAAUUUUGUGUGUGGCUGUGUCAGGAUUGGGAUUUCUUGCACACGACUGUGAAAAAAGUCCAUUAUGAAUCAUCUGCAUGUUUCACAGAGUUAUUCAUUACUAUAUUAUUUGUUUCUUCGUUUGUUUCAGUUUUUAUGAGCACUGUAACUACCCAAGCUUCACUCUCGACGGUGACAGAGAAAUGCCGGAUGCUAUACCGUUCAGAGCCGAGAACAUGGGAACGGCUGAAAGAGAGCCUCCCGGGCAGUAUGGGAAACUCUCACAGCAGACCAGCUCUGUCCUUUAGCUGUAUCAUACUAUUUCAGGGAACAAAGACUACUUGCAAAUUGUUAACACUGCUGCACUAAAAAAUUAAUGUAUUUUAUGAUUGCAAAAUAAACACCUAAAAAGAGAAAA